GAUGAAGAACGUAGCGAAAUGCGAUAAGUAAUGUGAAUUGCGGAAUUCAGUGAAUCAUCGAAUCUUUGAACGCACAUUGCGCCCGCCAGUAUUCUGGUGGGCAUGCCUGUUCGAGCGUCAUUUCAACCAUCAAGCCCCCCGGCUUGUGUUGGGGACCUGCGGCUGCCGCAGGCCCUGAAAAGCAGUGGCGGGCUCGCUGUCACACCGAGCGUAGUAGCAUACAUCUCGCUCUGGGCGUGCUGCGGGUUCCGGCCGUUAAACCACCUUCAUAACCCAAGGUUGACCUCGGAUCAGGUAGGAAGACCCGCUGAACUUAAGCAUAUCAAUAAGCGGAGGA
rnacentral:misc_RNA from 1 species